rnacentral:rRNA from 1 species
UACGUAGGUGGCAAGCGUUGUCCGGAAUUAUUGGGCGUAAAGCGCGCGCAGGCGGCUUCUUAAGUCUGAUGUGAAAUCUUGCGGCUCAACCGCAAACGGUCAUUGGAAACUGGGAAGCUUGAGUGCAGAAGAGGAGAGUAGAAUUCCACGUGUAGCGGUGAAAUGCGUAGAUAUGUGGAGGAAUACCAGUGGCGAAGGCGGCUCUCUGGUCUGUAACUGACGCUGAGGCGCGAAAGCGUGGGGAG